rnacentral:rRNA from 1 species
UGUUUCGGCUAGGGGGCCAUCCCGGCUUACCAACCCGAUGCAAACUGCGAAUACCGGAGAAUGUUAUCACGGGAGACACACGGCGGGUGCUAACGUCCGUCGUGAAGAGGGAAACAACCCAGACCGCCAGCUAAGGUCCCAAAGUCAUGGUUAAGUGGGAAACGAUGUGGGAAGGCCCAGACAGCCAGGAUGUUGGCUUAGAAGCAGCCAUCAUUUAAAGAAAGCGUAAUAGCUCACUGGUCGAGUCGGCCUGCGCGGAAGAUGUAACGGGGCUAAACCAUGCACCGAAGCUGCGGCAGCGACACUAUGUGUUGUUGGGUAGGGGAGCGUUCUGUAAGCCUGUGAAGGUGGCCUGUGAGGGUUGCUGGAGGUAUCAGAAGUGCGAAUGCUGACAUAAGUAACGAUAAAGCGGGUGAAAAGCCCGCUCGCCGGAAGACCAAGGGUUCCUGUCCAACGUUAAUCGGGGCAGGGUGAGUCGACCCCUAAGGCGAGGCCGAAAGGCGUAGUCGAUGGGAAACGGGUUAAUAUUCCCGUACUUGGUGUUACUGCGAAGGGGGGACGGAGAAGGCUAUGUUGGCCGGGCGACGGUUGUCCCGGUUUAAGCGUGUAGGUGUGUGUUCCAGGUAAAUCCGGUUCACUUUAACACUGAGGCGUGAUGACGAGGCACUACGGUGCUGAA